UAUGCACCAAUUGUCAACCUCUAAUUGGUCCUAAUUAAAAAACUUAUCUUAGCAUCUCCCUUCACCUUUUUUUCCCUCCGUUGUUUUCAUUUUGAAACAUAUUCCUCUCUCUUCCUCAUUUUACUUCUUUUCAUCAACUAUCUUCAUCUUCUCUCUCUUUCUCCUUAAACCCUACAUCCGCCGCCGCCUCUUUCUCCUCCGUAUCUACGACUACUACCACCUCCAACAGAAAUACCAAAACCAUUUUUGUACUCCUCAUCUUGCAGCCUUUCUUAUGAGCAUGUUGCAUUUUUGUUUCAAGCAACCUCAUCUUCGACCACUGCUUCCCCUUCUCUCACUGUCAUAACCAUUACCAUCUUUUCUUGCCCUAUUUUUUACUAGAUGUUAUAUAGAUGACUUUGUUACCCAUAUUUAAUGUUGUUUCUAUUUUCUUCAAUUUUUUAGGGCUUUUACUUCAACAUUUAUGAAUCUUUAGCGAUUGGAGUUAGAGCAACCAGGGAUGAAAUAGGUGAUGAAUGAACCGUUUGGAUUUCAUAUUUUUGACAUAUGUAAGGUCAGGCAAUUGCAAUUAGCACUACUAUGAAACAAAGCACAACAUGAACAAAUAUUUUAACAUAUCCAGUUCAGUUGCAAUCAUGGAUAUUAAAAUCAGUUCAAUCAAAGAUUUUGCAGAGCACUAAUGUGUGUGUGAGAGAGAGAACUACUGAAUACUAAUGCUACUUGCUGUUGAUUUAAGUUUUUUUUAACAUUAAAAGUAUUCAUUGUAUUUAAUUCCAACACAAAUUAUGUAAAGUUGACUGUAUAAAAUAUUCAUUGGCAAUAUAUUAUAAAAUAUAUUCAUUGGUAAUAUAUUAUAAAGUAUUCAUUGACAGUAUAUUCAUUGUAUCAUAAA